UACGUAGGGGGCUAGCGUUGUCCGGAAUCAUUGGGCGUAAAGAGCGCGUAGGCGGCCAGAUAAGUCCGGUGUGAAAGUCACAGGCUCAACCUGUGAAUGCCGCUGGAAACUGUCUGGCUAGAGUCCGGGAAGGGCGAGUGGAAUUCCUGGUGUAGCGGUGAAAUGCGCAGAUAUCGGGAGGAACACCUAUGGCGAAGGCAGCUCGCUGGGACGUUACUGACGCUGAGACGCGAAAGCGUGGGGAGCAAACAGG
rnacentral:rRNA from 1 species